UCCAUCUCCAUCCCCAAUGCAUCCUUGCCUCAUCUUGAUCUGCAAUGAACCAGAGCUCAUAGAAAGAGAUUUGAUGUGAUGAUUGAGGUGGAAGGCUACCUUAACCUAUGGAUCAAAGAUUGAUCAAGAAAGACAAAUUGUCUCAUGCUUCAAGUACCAAGAAGAUAAUUUCUUGCAAGAUAAGGAAAAAUGGUGUUGUGUCCCUUGGCGAAUGUAGUGAUGGACUGGUCUUUGGCACUUCUCAGUCGACCAGGUAAUAUACAUCCUCC